rnacentral:lncRNA from 1 species
CUUCUAAAUUGCUCAAGAGAUGGUGAAAGAUAGGAAAGCUGAGGCAGUAAGGAUAUCACAAAGGAAAACUAUGGAGGUGGAACUGAUGGGAUUAAUAAGAAACCAGGCAUGAGAAGCCAUGCAGAUGUAAAUUUGGAAAUCAACAUAUUGAUAGUUGGAGUCACUGGAGUAGGAUGUCUGCCAGCUCCUCUCCAGCCACCCAUUCUCAUAGCGGGUGAGCCAGACCACAUCUGCUAAUCCAGGAGCACAGCUCAGGACUAGUCUAUGCGGAUGGAAUCUCUCUCCAGCCUUUUCUCUAUGUCAGUUUUAUCUACCUGGCAAGAAAAAACAAAAACAACCCCAAAACAACCCCUCCCCACAAACACAACACAAAACAAGGGACUCGAAAAGUUGGAGAAAACCUUUUAAUGUGUUUCUGUAAAAUCCUUUCUUAGGAGGUUUAGUACAGGUACUACCCAUCAGCAACUUAGCCGGCCAGGUGAGUUGGUGCAGAAGGGCUUCGGCUGAAUUUAUACCAGAGCCAUCGGGAGUGACUUGGCCACCUCUCCCAAUUACCACAAGGAAGUCUUAAAAUUGAAUUUCAGUUUCAGCAGAUACUUCAGAUUUACCUGAGCAAUAUCAUAGACAAUGUACUCAUUAUAUAGUAGACAAGUGUCAUUCACACCAGAUGAAAUCCCAGUCCCAAGAGGAACCUCUGCACCAUCCAGAGUAAUACUAGCUGAAGGGUCAGGGGUAGUUUUGCCCAAACCUUUGACACUGUGCUUGCCCUUGGGUAACUUGCUGAUAUGUGAAGCGUGCUUCAGUUCAUACAUUUUCCAAGGGCAACUUCUCCCAACAGGAUUAAGCCUGUUGGGCCUCCCUGAGAUGUAUGGCAGUAGUUGGCACUCUUGGAGGCCAUGUCAGCGAAAUAGAUCCCUUUACCAAACAUGUAGCCCGUCAUGGGCACUUCAGGCGGGGCUAUCCAAAGACC